AUAAAUAUGUUAAUUUUUAUUAAUGGAUUGUUCUUAAAACAUGCCCCCUCCCCUUUAACGUAAAUAAUUUUUUACCCACCUUUAAUCCAGUGCCAGGAUAUGUCCAUAAGGCAGCCACCACUCCUCUUCUGACCUAAUACAUCAGGAUGAUGUCUGGUACAAUCCAAAUAAUCUCAUAGAGAAGUAGUAAGGACCUACUGGGCCUGGGAAGCAAUUACAAUC